UCUCGGUUAGUAUAAUGGUUCAGUAUCUCCGCCUGUCAACUGUUGGUAGGAUCUGCUCCAACAUCUACGACGGUUCGCGGAAGAUCCGGGUUCGAUUCCCGGACCGAGAG